GCGCGGGUGGCGGAAUUGGUAGACGCACUGGAUUUAGGUUCCAGCGCCGCAAGGUGUGCGAGUUCGAGUCUCGCCCCGCGCACCA
rnacentral:tRNA from 1 species